rnacentral:lncRNA from 1 species
CAGCUGUGUCACAAGUCUACUGUGUUCACAGCAUCAACCUGGCUGUUUAGCAUGGUCCCCAUGGAAUUGGGGGGCACAGAGAAUCUAAACCCAAAAUUUAUGCUGCCUGCUGUUGUGCAAUUUCAUGCUUCUAGACACGAUGUCGGCAUUCCAGGACAGCAGCAGAAAGUGUAGAAAAAUAAAAAAGUCCUACCUCCCUAAUGAGUCAACUGCACUUAAGGAGCCAUCCCAGAAGUUUCACACAGCUUUAUUAAGUAUCACCCAUGGGAACAACCCCUACAGAAGAAUCAGAAUAUAA